UACAGAGGGUGCGAGCGUUGUCCGGAAUCACUGGGCGUAAAGGGCGCGUAGGUGGCGGCCCAAGUCCAUGGUGAAAGCUCGAUGCUCAACAUCGAGUCGGCCACGGAUACUGGGUUGCUCGAGCACUGUAGGGGCAGAUGGAAUUCCGGGUGUAGCGGUGGAAUGCGUAGAGAUCCGGAAGAACACCGGUGGCGAAGGCGGCGACCUGGUCCUUUUACUGACGCUGAGGCGCGAAAGCGUGGGGAGCAAACAGG
rnacentral:rRNA from 1 species